ACCUGGGAUUGGUGGGGAAGUGACUCCACAUCAAGAUGCCACAUUUCUGUACACGGUGCCCCUGGGCAGAGUUAUGGGGCUGUGGAUUGCCCUGGAAGAUGCCACCAUUAACAAUGGCUGCCUGUGGUUUAUCCCGGGGUCACACAACAGUGGUAUUUCCCGGCGUAUGGU